rnacentral:lncRNA from 1 species
CCUUUUCUGUAUAAGGACGUUCAUCGUUGGAUUUAAACCUUGCCCUAAUGCAGGAUAAUCUCAUCUUGAGAUCCUGACCUUAAUUACGUCAUCACAGACUUUUAUUCCAAAUAACUUCACAUUCUGAGGUUCUGGAUGGAUACAUCUUUUGGAGACCACAAUUCAACUUUCUAUAACAUUCCAAAAGUGUAAAGAAUAAACCAAGGUUGAAAGCAAAAGCAACCAGAAAUCCAACAGAAAGUCUGCAGAUUAAAGAUAAUUGGCAUUCCUUGACCCCAGCAAGAAAUCAACCCUCCUGCAUAACUCAGGUUUCACUCACUUCCCAAAGCCUUGCCUUUCAAACAAAGGCAUUCCCAGACCCCAGAGCACCAAAUCCAGGCUAGGUAUGUAUGUUGAAAAAGGAAAAGCCAGCAUUUAGGGGUUGUGAUUAAGACAGUGAGCCUAAUUAAGUUCACACUUUUUUCUCAUUUCUC